ensembl:lncRNA
GUUGAGGCAGCGUCCCACAUGCCACAACCAGAAGGACCCACAACUAAAAAUACACAACUAUAUGCUGGGGGGGAUUUGGGGAGAAAAAAAGCAGAAAAAAACAUUGGCAACAGUUGUUAGCUCAAGUGCCAAUCUUUAAAAAAGAAAAAAAGGGAGUCAUACGUAGGAUUAUUGAUUCUUUAUUUUGCCAAGUAAGGAUGUUAAAAAUAUCUCCUAUCACCAUUAUUUUGUAAAAGGAAGAACACUUUAAUAGUAACAGGGCAGGAAUGACAUUAUUUCAGAAUAAAGGGGCAUCUUUCCCAGGGAUGGUGGUCGGCCACCUCAUGGUGACGUGUUUGUUCUGUGGCUUCAGUUUUCCCAUUUUGCUGUGGACUGGUGAGCACUUUGUCACAGUUUGGUGUUUGGAGAGCAUUCCUCUGCUCAAGAUUGCUUAGGGAGUAGAAGCUUGUGAAGUGAUAAAAAUGUCAUUCUUUUUUGAAAAGUAGUCAUUGAACGGGAGAUGAAACAGUAAAAGUUGAAGAUGAAGCUAACUUGUGGCGUGGCACAGGUACAGGAGAGAAAGGCUCCUGUUUCGGACUGUGAUUUGGGGUGUGUCGAGAGCAGGUGCAAACUUUUCCACGUUCUCAGGUAGGUCUGGGGUGGGAUCAAGAGAUUUAAGAAUUAGUUACUUUCUUAAAUCUUUAGAGUUCUGACUGAAUUUCCUCCUGGCUCCCAAGAACCCUUGUUGAUCUUGCUCACAUUUUCCAAGCCCACCUUCCCAUCCUUGUCCUGCACCUCACACUCCCAUCCCUUGUGUGAGACCCCAGCCGUCGUACACCCCCCCAGAACCUCUCCACAGCGUAGCGCCAGUGCUGAGAGCAUGACCCCGCAUUUGUCUCUCGCCCCCUCUGCUCUGCGGAGCUGCGGCGGGCGGAGCCACCUGCCCUUCUGCAGCCUCAUUGCGUCUCCUCCGUCUGGCUCCUCCUCCUUUUCUCUUCCCCACCGCACAAAACACAGAGUUGUUCCUGCCAGAACCUGGGCAUUCUCCCUGAAGCAUCCGUCACUUUCACGUUCACCUCGUUACCUAUUCCUGAAGGGUUUACUCCCAAAUACAGACCGUGCUGCCAGCCCAGUCCCCGUCACUGUCACCGCUUGCCUGGGCUGGUACAAUGGUUCCUCUUGAUCCCCAUCAAUCCACUCUUCACACAGUAGGAAUGUCUUUCUUAAAAGGGAAAUUGUGUCCUGUCAUACUCCCUGUCCAAAACUCUGAGGACGUUUGGCACAAAAAUGAAAAAAAAAAAAACCCCAGAAGGGCACACAUGGUCUGCCCAUGAGCUGGCUCCAACCUCUUCUCGAGCUACUUGCCGUUUCCUUCACCACGCUGACACGUGGGGGCUUAGACUUCCUGGAGCACUCAGGGCAGGGACCACGUGUGUUUCUUCUGAUUGGAAAGUCUCCCCGGCUCCCCACUCUGCCUGUUCCCCUCCAGACCACAAGCUUCCUGAGGACAGACCCGUGACUGCCCCUCGUGAAUCAAGAACGAGCAGCAAGCACAGCCCCAGGCAGAGAGAAUGAAGUGUUUUCUGGGAGCUGAGCUGCUGUUGCACCCCCUUCCCGAUUCCCUCUGAAUUUUGCAUGAUGUCUUAUUUGCUAAUUAUCUCUACUUUGCAGUUUAGCCUUUCACUCCAUGCUCAUAUAGUCCUUACUUUUAUUUCGUGGAUGUGAUUGAUCUCAGCUGUCCUGUGAGCUUCCUGUAAACAGCAGUGGGGGCUUUUUCUCUCCUGCAUCCUCAGGGUAACAGUGAGGGCGGGCUGAGUCCUCGAUCAGUCACCAGACGUCCACUGUCUCGGGGACAUUAUUUCCUGCUCCGCCUGUGUCCAGUGUGGCCAGCAGGGGUUCUGGUUGCGCGUUUUCUCAGGGGUCUGGGCUAACGGGAGGCUUCACCCUGAUGCCCGCUUCCCUGAUGAAAACGCAGUGGAAGGAAACAUGACACACCACGCUGUUGGCUUGUACAGCUUCUGCCAGGAUGUGACGCAUGUCAUUGGCUCAAGCAAGUCACAUGGCCAUGCCUGAUUUCAGGUGGGUGGGCGAGAGACCCUCCUGUGCACCUGGCAAGAGGAGUUGGGGACAUGCUUCGAGCUUGCUGCCUGCAGAGCCUGCCCAGUGCCGGGGUCCUGGUGGGAGCUCCAGCAUUCGCACUUGACUGAAGUGUGGAAACACCUGGAGGGAUAGAUGUGGCCCAAGGCGAAGGAGAAGGCAGCUGGUGGUUGAAAAUGAAGAAAGUGUUGCUACAGUGUAUUUGCACUCUCCUGGUUUCAACUUCCCUUCUAAAAUCUGGAAAUAGGGAAAGCUCUAGAGAGUACUUCAAGUUGGAGGACCUGUGUGAACACCUGCCCUUAUGCAGGAAAUAGCUGUGUGCUGACUAGUGACCUGCUCUUCACCCUGAUACUGCCGAUGAUUUGAGUGACUGCAGAUGUUGACCUGCAAAAAACAUCUGUGGACAGCAUGAACCCGGGAGGGGAGUGAGUGAUUUGAGUGGUGGAAUUGUGAUCCGAUGCUAGAAUUAUGUGCUGGGGUAAUGGGUUCACGCUAAGGGAUCAGUGUGUGAUGUUUGGCAGCGCUUUGAACAACAGCAUUGUGAAAAAUCUCUCAGACUUUCUGUUGACACAACUGGUACUGUUACUCGAUAGUGGAAUGUGCUGGCCAAAUGAGCUGAUGGAAUGUCAGUUUGUCCACAUGGGAGCACGACGCCCAGGACUGGGGAGGGGCUCAGGGACUCUGCUCAGGAGUGUUUGGAAGCUUGAGCUCAGUUUGGGGCGUCACCAUUUGAGGGACCUCGACAGAUGAGCUUGCCCAGAGGAUAGUCAUGGGGUUGCCAAUGAACAAGAACAACCAAGGAGCAGAUGAAAGAGCUGGGUUGGUUUACCCUAGAGAGGAGAGAGACUAGAGUGGGGCAGUGAGGGAUGGAGAGGGCAGGUCUUCAGACAAUCAGAGGGCCACCAAGUAGAAGAGGGAAUUAACUUUAUUUUGCUUCAGAAGAUAGAAUAAAGUUGGGUUAUAGGGACACUGAUUUUGACUCAUGGUCAGGAAUAGAAGCCUUUGAAAGUCAGGUCUCUUGUGGGUCAUGUCAUCAAGGGGAUUUAUGAAUCCAAAUUGUACCGUGACCAACCAUCCCAGUUUGCCCAAGACUGAGAAGUUUUCUAAGACUUGGGACUUUCAGUGCUAAAAUCAGAAAACUCCCAGGCAAACUGGAUGAAGUGGCCCCCCUACCAAAGAGGAUCGCCUUAAUGUAGUUGCAGGUCUCUUCCAAUUUGGAGAUGCUGUGAUUUCUAAGAUAGAUGUGUUGAUUUUCCCAGAAAAAUUUUAGGCAAAGCAAUGAUUCUUAUACAGCUUUUUUCCAAUCCCUGCUUCAUUUACUCACAGAGGAGUUUCACAUGCUUUGAGCAAUUGUUCCACAUUUGUGUUUAAGAUUUAAUCAUUGCUGCUAGACUCAUGCCCUGCAAUUGUAUCACAUGAUCAGGUGAACAUUUCCCUGCAAGUCCAAAGUCAUUCAUUACAUAAAUGAGCAUUUUAGAAACGAAGAGCUGCACCUUUCUUAAGAAACCACAGUGGAUAAUUUCUCGAUUGUCUGAAUUGCUGUUAUUCUUGGGUGAAGCAUUAAGGACGUGAACAGCAGUACAGGAGGUUAAAUAGUUCCAUCAUAAUGAAAUUUCGCUUGGAUUACGCACAAUGAAAGAGCUGUUUGUGUUCAACACGUCCUUGUAGGAACUGUAUUCUGUUCUUUCAAUCACUUAUUGUAUUUCUGAUUCCAGAAUAAAUUUCUUGAGUCAAACUGCAACCUUGUAGCUUUGUUUAUUCUUUGGGGUUCAGUGUUUGUGUAUCAGGACCAGGACCUCUACAAAGAGGCUUUGUCGUUUUCUCCUGGCGUUCUUCCUGGCGACCUGCUACCUGCCCACCCUCACUGUUUAACUUGAAUAAAACCGUAGAGAGACUUACGAG